UGGACCAGCUGUACGAUGACUCCUUCCCCAUGGACAUCCGGCAGUACCUGAGCAGGUGGAUCGAGAGCAUCGACUGGUUUUAGGUCGUGUUGAAGUGAAGAGCGAGACUCCUGACCUGCUGUGAGUGACGUGACGCUCGGUGGAAGUUCUGCAUCCUGGUCCGUCUUCAUGUUGGAGACAUCUGGUCCGGACGUCUGGAUCUGUUCUGAAGUGGAUUUAAAGCUGCAGAUCCGGAGGAAGUUUCAGUGUUUGGCUCUGAAUCUAUAGAGCUGCUAUCAUGGCUUCCUUCUGCUGCAGGAAACACAGAGAGGCAGCAGCAUGAUGCUGCCACCGCCAGGCCCCCAAGGGGCGCUGGUGUCUGGGUGCUACAGCAGCAGCCAGAAACAGCUGCAGUGAUCAAGGCCUGGGGGAGUCUUCAUCACACUGGGAUGUUUCACCUGCUGCGUUUCCAUGACAAUGUCAGCAAAUCUCAGUCUGCUAAUGUCAGGAAAACACAAUUUCACUGCUGCAGUGAAAUAAGAAAUUAGAUAAAAAUGUGAAUAAUUUAGCUCAAGAGAAAAGUCAUUAAUAUUCAUGCAGACACGGAUGGAAACAGUUCAAACUCAUAACUCAGCCAUGGUGGCGCUAGCGCUCAUCAUCCAUCAGCCAAUCAGCGCCUCGUUCAGGCCUUGGAGCGAUAAGCCCCGCCUACUGGAGCGGCUCCCUGUGCUGCAUUUUGGGAAAUUGUAUUUUGACAGAAGAGCGGUGGAUUCAACAUGUUGGAACGACUCUCAGCUUUUUCUGACCUGCUGCUGUGAAGCUCUGGAGGAGCCAGAAAAAACAGAAACUAACCAUCAUCCUCCAAACACUUCCGGGACACAAACGAUGAAGGCGGGAAUCUAACCGGCAACCAGCGACUGCAGGGUGAACUCCUGCUGCUCCUGAUUUCCUUCACAUUUGAGUUUCAUCCAGCAGAACAUGAUUUAAUCCUGUUUCUGUUGUUUCCAUGUAGCAUUCUGGAAUAAAACCAGGG